AGCGGGAAGUAGUUUACUACUUCGCCGGCGAGCGGCGGACGGGUGAGUAAUGUCUGGGAAACUGCCUGAUGGAGGGGGAUAACUACUGGAAACGGUAGCUAAUACCGCAUAACGUCUUCGGACCAAAGUGGGGGACCUUCGGGCCUCACGCCAUCGGAUGUGCCCAGAUGGGAUUAGCUAGUAGGUGGGGUAAUGGCUCACCUAGGCGACGAUCCCUAGCUGGUCUGAGAGGAUGACCAGCCACGCUGGAACUGAGACACGGUCCAGACUCCUACGGGAGGCAGCAGCGGGGAAUAUUGCACAAUGGGCGCAAGCCUGAUGCAGCCAUGCCGCGUGUGUGAAGAAGGCCUUCGGGUUGUAAAGCACUUUCAGCGAGGAGGAAGGCCAAUAACUUAAUAGGUUGUUGGAUUGACGUUACUCGCAGAAGAAGCACCGGCUAACUCCGUGCCAGCAGCCGCGGUAAUACGGAGGGUGCAAGCGUUAAUCGGAAUUACUGGGCGUAAAGCGCACGCAGGCGGUUUGUUAAGUCAGAUGUGAAAUCCCCGCGCUUAACGUGGGAACUGCAUUUGAAACUGGCAAGCUAGAGUCUUGUAGAGGGGGGUAGAAUUCCAGGUGUAGCGGUGAAAUGCGUAGAGAUCUGGAGGAAUACCGGUGGCGAAGGCGGCCCCCUGGACAAAGACUGACGCUCAGGUGCGAAAGCGUGGGGAGCAAACA
rnacentral:rRNA from 1 species